GACGAACGCUGGCGGCGUGCUUAACACAUGCAAGUCGAACGGAAAGGCUCCAGCUUGCUGGAGUACUCGAGUGGCGAACGGGUGAGUAACACGUGGGUAAUCUGCCCUGCACUCUGGGAUAAGCCUGGGAAACUGGGUCUAAUACUGGAUAUGACCUUUCUCCUUAUGGGGUUUGGUGGAAAGUUUUGCGGUGUAGGAUGAGCCCGCGGCCUAUCGGCUUGUUGGGCGGGUGACGGCAUAUCAAGGCGACGACGGGUAGCCGGCAUGAGAGGGUGAUCGGCCACCUUACUCCUGCGAGACGGCCCAGACUCCUACGUGAGGCAGCGGUGGCGAAUCUUGUCCAAUCGGCCCGCGUCUGUUGAGGCGACCUUGCGGUUGUGAUGACCGUUUGUGGGUUAUAAACAUCUUUCAGCUGGGACGCAGCUUUAGUGACGGUACCUGCAGAAGAAGCACCGGCUAACUUCGUG
rnacentral:rRNA from 1 species